CCACUCAGCUUGGCAUCAUCCGCAAACUUGCUGAGGGUGCACUCGAUCUCGCUGUCAAUAUCAUUGAUAAAGAUAUUAAACAGCACCGGUCCCAGUACAGACCCCUGAGGGACAUCACUUCUUGCAUUGAGAACGUAAAAGAAUGGAAGCUUGCUGAAGAUGGAGGGUAAAAUAAAGUCUGGAAAAAGUUGCUUUCUCCUGUGUCAGAGGGUUUAUAACACCAUAAUUUAUAGUAUAGAUUAGGAUUACUGCUUUAAAGCUAAAGGUAAUUAAACUAUGCUUGCAUCUUUAGGCCCACAGGAAAAUGACUUAGUUUUCCAUAUACUUCCAGAGACAAUGAGCUGCUGAUUUAUUAUUCUACUCAAGUUAUAGAGGAGCUGAACAAAAUGUAAAACUAAAGACCUAUCUUUGCUCUCAGCUGUUCUGGUAUAAUUCCAGCUCAGCUUGUCUGGUGCUGGUGAAUUUAUUCCAGUUUUAUACUACUGUGACCUAACCAGAAUUUAUUCUACAGCCUGAAUCAAAUUGGACUGUUUUCUACUAUUUUCGGAUGAUGAGGAUUCUGUUAGUUGGUCUGUAGUCUGUCUCACCCUCCCCCUUUCCUACUAGUUUUUUAAAAAUGUGUUUUUAAAAGAACAAUGAAAACUCUCUACCUGAAAAACUGUGUUACACACAAAGUCUAGCAAACUCUUGUUUUCUAAAGAGAAGUCCCCUGCAUACCAUGAAAACAUGCAGUCUGAGGAACACCACUCUUUAGCAGUGCUAGACUCCUUUUACUUAGUUAUUUAAUUUUUUCUUACUUAGUUAUUUAGUUAGUUAUUUAGUUAUUUAUUUUUAAACUUGCCUUGUAAUUAACUUAGUGUCUGCUUUUCUUUGUUUUAACUGUACAGGUACAUAUAGGCAAAAUAGUGAGACUUGCUCAGAAACACUUGGAAUCAGCUUUUGUAGAAGAGCCCUUUAAACUUGGGAAGAAUCCUGUGGAGAAUUUGGUCAUGUUUAGAAACGAUCCAAAGUAGCUAUGACAACUUAAUGUACCAGGGCCAAGAUCCUGUGCACAUACCAAAUCUCUGACACUAUCCAAGAUCCUUAUCCAAUAUGAGGAGGAAACUAUAAAAUUAGAAUUGCCUAAAACAACCCCUAGAGAGUAUUGCUGAUUCUUGAGAAGAUUUUUUCUUUAAAUCUUACAGACGGAUUAUUCUAAAAGGUCUAAAAUAGGAAACUUGUAAAAGAAAAGAAAAGAGUGCAUUGAAUAAGGUGUCCAUGAACCCUGCUCCCCCUAAUCCGGAUCAUCUGGGAUUAAUUCUAAAUGCAUCUGAGGAAGGAAUGCUCAGGGUGGCUGAUCACCAGCAGAGAUGCGACAGGGUUCUGUGAGACAGGUUUUGUUGAAGAAACGAGAGACCCGGG